GUGGGCUUUCCCAAACAGAACGGUGCUGGACCCCACGAUGCCACGCCAUUUGGUGCCCCGCCAUCGGGGUGUCCUGAAACAGGAGGGGCUGAGUAUCUCAAGCACGUGCAGGACUGCGGGUGAGAGGGCAGGCAGGGAACUUGGCGUUGUGCCAGUAGUGUUCUUUCGUGGGCAAACAAAGUGCGGUAGGUGGGGCAUCUGAGAAGCUUGAGAGAUGCAUAUAAAGCGGCGCUUUUUGUUGGGUUUGACCUAGAAUCCGCGUGUAUUGAGCGAGUGCAGUUUGAGAAGACUGCCUAAGCACUGUUGUUGGCUGUUCGCGCCCCUUUUUUUGCGAUCGGGCACUGCUCCCGGUAGGGAUGUACCACUGACGAUCUCAAAGACCUGUCAUCAUCUCACCUCACCACGAGGUCUGAUGUUUUUUGUUCUUAAUUAUAGCCCCUGUUCUUGGGCACUCUGAAACUUUCUGAAGUUUCGUGAAAGUGCUCGGUUCGAAACACGUGGAGUUUGUCGAGUGUGAUAGGUAGUGAUUGCUCAGACAAUGGGCUUUCGAUUUCUUUGUGAAGGCUUGUGUGAUUGGGUAUCUUUGAACGGUGAUACUCACGGCGCCGACGGAGUGAAGCGUAUGUGUGUGUGUGUCGGACAUGUUUGCGCAGUUCUAGGUGGGCAAAGGAGCUAUUUGGGGAGCAAUCAGUGGAAGGACUCGCUUCAGCAGGUGUAAAGAGGACGAUGCGAGGUGCGUAGCAGUUUUUUCCCAUGGGGAUGCUCGUGCCUCGCUUUUGUGGCCUACGGGAGGCUUAUCGACGAUUGGAAGGUGACUAUUUUGAACGGCCGAGUGUUCCACGACGGGCAUGAUAAGCUGCUUUCUGAAAUUGACAAGGCUCAACGACGCGCAGACUGCGAACGUGAUCUUACCACAUGGACAGAGGCAGGCGAUUCUUUGGCGAUGUGUAUGUUCCACAUUCGAGGGUCUGAGAGGAGUGACACCUUGACAGUUCAUUCAGACUCAUAGCUAACGGUUGCUUCCUUUUGCAGCUGUGCGUCGCUGUGCAGCUCUAAUUGUUAGAGAGGCGUAGUAGUUGCUGCUGUGCCUUGGGAAUAUUGGACCUGUCAUUCCUCUCUAUUGAGCUCGAGAGGUGAGGCUUGCUUGCUGAAAAAGAAGCGCUUUUGACCGCUAAUGUGCUGACAUAUGCUCUGACCGUGUUUUGAAGGCCGACGCGACGCUGACACGAGCUGGAACGCUGCUAUGGAAGUAUGGCAUCAUGCGGUGGCUGCAUAAUUGUGGACGUGGUGCUAGCCUUCGGGCUGGCGUCGUAUGACGCUGCAUCCUAGCGUAUACUGACGAUAGACGAGACAAUCGUUUGGAAGGUAAUGAUCCCACCUUUCCACCUUUCCUUUUCUCCUCAUUUGCACCUUUGAAG
rnacentral:misc_RNA from 1 species